AACAUAGUACUUCGUAUAUUUACACACAGAAGGCAUAAUCCGUUAUAUUCGCGAUUAAAGACAGUAUAUCUUGGUUGUAUAAUAUUUAUAACCGUCGACCACGGUUAAAGUUUAUGGUUUAUUUUUGUAUUACUGAUAACGAGGAAGUUGUUGUUAAUUUAUUUUGAGACGAACAAGAUUUAUUUGUGUUGAAAUUCCAAAUGAGUGUCUCCAAUUAGUGUCUAGGGCGUCUUUAAUUCCGCUGGUAAUUUUCGAUCUUAUUACCCCGUUUACAUUCAGCCCACUUCCGUGGCAGUAAGCAUUGAAGUGACCGUGGGAGUGGGCAGCGCGAGUAUG